rnacentral:rRNA from 1 species
GGUUCGAUCAUGGCUCAGAUUGAACGCUGGCGGGAUGCUUUACAUGCGGUCGAACGGCAGCACGGACUUCGGUCUGGUGGCGAGUGGCGAACGGGUGAGUAAUGUAUCGGAACGUGCCUAAAUGGCAGGGGAUAACUACGCGAAAGCGUAGCUAUUACCAUACGCCCUUCGGGGGAAAAGCGGGGACCUUCGGGCUCGCGCCACUAUUCAAACAGCCCGAUAUCAGUUAGCCUAGUUGGUGGGGUAACGGCUCACCAAGGCGACGAUCCGUAGCUGGUUUGAGAGGAACGACGGCCUGGGGCUGAGACACGGCGAACUCCUACGGGGAGGCGGUGGGGAAUUUUGGACGAGGAAACCCUGAUCCAGCCAUCCCGCGUGUGCGAUGAAGGCCUUCGGGUUGUAAAGCACUUUUGGCAGAAAGAAACGGCACGGGACAAUACCCGUGCAACUGACGAAGCCACCUGCAGAAUAAGCACCGGCUAACUACGUGCCAGCAGCCGCGGUAAUACGUAGGGUGCAAGCGUUAAUCAGAUUACUGGGCGUAAAGCGUGCGCAGGCGGUUCGGAAGAAAAAGAUGUAGAAAUCCAGAGCUUGCUUUGGAACUGCAUUUUUUAACUACCGAGCUAGAGUGUGUCAGGAGGUGGAAUUCCGCGUGUAGCAGUGAAAUGCGUAGAUAUGCGGAGGGAACACCGAUGGCGAAAGGCAGCCUCCUGGGAUAACACUGACGCUCAUGCACGAAAGCGUGGGGAGCAAACAGGAUUAGAUACCCUGGUAGUCCGCUGAAACGAUGUCAACUAGCUGUUGGGGCCUUCGGGCCUUGGUGGCCUGUAUGCAGUGGUUGACCACUUUCGAUACGGUCGCAAAGUUAAAAACAAAGAUUGACGGGGACCCGCACCAAACGGUGGAUGAUGUGGAUUAAUUCGAUGCAACGCGAAAAACCUUACCUACCCUUGACAUGUCUGAUCCAGGAAUUGGAGUGCUCACCAAGAGAACCGGAACCCACAGAUGCUGUUUAUCGUCUGUCAGCUCAGUAUCGAUGGAUAUUGGUUCGAUCCUGGCAAGCGCAACCAUGUCAUUGGUUGCUUAUGAGGCACUCAUCAAGACCUGGUGUCGUGGAGGAAGGUGAGGAUGACGUCAAGUCCUCAUGGCCCUUAUGGGUAGGGCUUCACGUCAUACAAUGGUCGGGACAGAGGGUCGCCAACCCGCGAGGAGCCAAUCCCAGAAACCCGAUCAUGGUCGGAUCGCAGUCUGCAACUCGACUGCGUGAAGUCGGAAUCGCUAGUAAUCGCGGAUCAGCAUGUCGCGGUGAAUACGUUCCGGUCUUGUACACACCGCCGUCACACCAUGGGAGUGGUUUUACCGGAAAAUGGUUAGCUGCUCGUAAGGAGGGCGAUUACCACGGUAGGAUUCAUGUGCGGGUGAAGUCGUAACUAAAACUACCUGUUACGGAGUACUCCAGGAGCAAUGCAUGGCGCC